rnacentral:rRNA from 1 species
GGCGAACGCUGGCGGCGUGCCUAAUACAUGCAAGUAGAACGCACAGUUUAUACCGUAGCUUGCUACACCAUAGACUGUGAGUUGCGAACGGGUGAGUAACGCGUAGGUAACCUGCCUGGUAGCGGGGGAUAACUAUUGGAAACGAUAGCUAAUACCGCAUAAUAUUAAUUAUUGCAUGAUAAUUAAUUGAAAGGUGCAAUUGCACCACUACCAGAUGGACCUGCGUUGUAUUAGCUAGUAGGUGAGGUAACGGCUCACCUAGGCGACGAUACAUAGCCGACCUGAGAGGGUGAUCGGCCACACUGGGACUGAGACACGGCCCAGCCUCCUACGGGAGGCAGCAGUAGGGAAUCUUCGGCAAUGGACGAAAGUCUGACCGAGCAACGCCGCGUGAGUGAAGAAGGUUUUCGGAUCGUAAAGCUCUGUUGUAAGAGAAGAACGGGUGUGAGAGUGGAAAGUUCACACUGUGACGGUAUCUUACCAGAAAGGGACGGCUAACUACGUG